UUUUGUGGCUGUCUUACACCAUAAAAAAAUAAUAAUACAAGCCCGAUGUCUGAUCUCGGUAGCUAAGCAGGGUUGGGCCUGGUUAGUACUUGAAUGGGAGACCACCUAGGAAGACCAGGUGCUGUAGGCA
rnacentral:rRNA from 1 species